UCCGAAAGGGGCUAUCGUUGUUCGGAAUUACUGGGCGUAAAGCGCGCGUAGGCGGGCUAGCAAGUUGGGGGUGAAAUCCCGGGGCUCAACCUCGGAACUGCCUCCAAAACUGCUAGCCUAGAGGAUGUGAGAGGAUAGUGGAAUUCCGAGUGUAGAGGUGAAAUUCGUAGAUAUUCGGAAGAACACCAGUGGCGAAGGCGACUGUCUGGCGCAUUUCUGACGCUGAGGCACGAAAGCGUGGGGAGAAAACAGG
rnacentral:rRNA from 1 species